CCUACGGGUGGCAGCAGUGGGGAAUAUUGCGCAAUGGGCGAAAGCCUGACGCAGCGACGCCGCGUGAGGGAUGAAGGUCUUCGGAUCGUAAACCUCUGUUAGCAGGGAAGAACGGUCACUGUGCUAAUCAGCAGUGAAUUGACGGGAACUGCAAAGGAAGCGCCGGCUAACUCCGUGCCAGCAGCCGGGGUAAUACGGAGGGUGCGAGCGUUAGUCGGAAUUACUGGGCGUAAAGCGCUCGUAGGCGGUAUUGCAAGUCAAGGGUGAAAUCCCCGGGCCCAAAGUGGGAACCGCCUUUGAAACUGGCAAACUUGAGUGUGUGAGAGGAUAGUGGAAUUCCAGGUGUAGGAGUGAAAUCCGUAGAUAUCUGGAGGAACAUCAGUGGCGAAGGCGACUCUCUGGCACAUAACUGACGCUGAGGAGCGAAAGCGUGGGUAGCAAACAGGAUUAGAUACCCCUGUAGUC
rnacentral:rRNA from 1 species